rnacentral:rRNA from 1 species
AUUGAACGCUGGCGGCAGGCCUAACACAUGCAAGUCGAGCGGAAGAAGGGAGCUUGCUCCUGGUUCCCGCGGCGGAAGGGUGAGUAAUGCCUAGGAAUCUCCCUGGUAGUGGGGGAUAACGACCUGAAACGGGCGCUAAUACCGCAUACGUCCUGCGGGAGCAACAGGGGGAUCUUCGGACCUCACGCUAUCAGAUGAGCCUAGGCCGGAUUAGCUAGUUGGUGGGGUAAAGACCUACCAAGUCGACUAUCGGCAACUGGCCUGUGAGGGGGGUCAGUCACAUUGGAAGUUAGACACGGUCCAGAGGCCUACGGGAGGCAGCAGUGGGGAAUAUUGGACAGUAGGCGAGAGUAUUGUCCAGUCAGGCCAAGUGUGUUAAGGCGAUGUUCGGAGUGGGAAGCACUUUAAGGUGGGAGGAAGGGCAUUAAGUUAAGACCAUGCUGUUGUGACGUUACUAACAGAAUAAGCACCGGCUAACUUCGUG